GGUAGCUAGGGUUUUGGGGAUUUUAGAUUUCGCGGUACAAGGACUAUGGACGGAUAGAUUUGGGCCUGCCAAGGGGAGCUGAAAUCUAAAGGUAACAAAAAAAUAUUGUAUUAGUAAUCUUAUCAUUUUUGAAGUUUUGAUAACUGCUGCUACUAUUUACCUUCUGAAUUUUAGAGUAUCUCCAAGAGCUUCCAGAAAAUGACUCCUAAAAAUUAUUUUUAAAGUACAUCUAAAAAUUAGUAGGGUAAAUUUUAAUUAUUUCUCCAACAGAUCCCUUAAAACGGCAGAUUGUUUUUGGAGAGCCUGAAACCCCCAUUUUUAGCUACAAAUGAGAGAGUUUUAAAGGCUAUAGAAAAAAUUAAAAGCACUUUAGAGGAACUGUUGGAGACACUUUUUUUGUAUUUUUUCACAAAAAAACUUGAUUUAAGGGAGACUUUUGGAAACUCUUGGAGAUGCUCUUAUAUCAUUAUAAUUAUUCCUUCUUUUUUAAGUUAUGGUAUGUGACGGUCACAGAAUGCCUUCGGCCAUGUGCAAUCUGUAGCGAUGAAAUCAUGAUGAAAAUUGUUGAAAACGAUUAAGAAAAUAGCUAAAUUGAUUUUGUUUCCAUAUUUUUUAAUAUGACGAAAACACAAAUAGAAAACCAACCAAAAUACGGGAACAAAAUUGUCAGUUAUUCGAAAACAAUAAACUGUAUUCGAAAAGACAAAUAUUUUGUAAUUUUUGCAAAUACAUAAUAAAGUGGUAUAUUGCCUAAUUUUUAAGAUAUUAAAAUACAUAAACAACUCUUAUUCAUCAUUCAUAUUAUUUAGAGUAAUUACAACCUUUUGUUUUUCUCUUGUUCAUUCAUUUGACCGAACCCGCGGACCAACAACUGAAAGCUAACUUCCUAUAGUAGGUCGUAAGAAGUUAGCAGGAUAAGCUAACUUCCUAGAGGCGGCCGUAGAAAGUUAGCAGCUCGUUUUAUUAGUUAAAUCUUUAUUUGAUAUGGUUUCAUAUACAGAAGCGUCUAAUAUAGUAACCAAAAUAAAAGACACUUUUUGUAAACUUAAUGCCUCAAAAGGUAUAUUUAUUUGAGACGAUUUCAAAAUUAAACUGUAUUAAUUAGAUAUAAGACAUUUCCAACCAUAUAUCUGUCUCAAAAACCUUCUUUAUUAAAGACGGAUGUCCAACAAACCGUCUUACCUUACUCAGCACCAUAUGAUAAAAGACGCUUCUAUAAAAUGCACUGAUAUUUGUCUUAAGAUGUAUGUCUUAAAUAAGCAUAUUUCUAGUAGUGACUGAAGGAUUACGGGGAGGCUACGCUAGUGCAAAACAAAAUUUUCAACCCCAUAAUACCAAGAACUACUGCGGUUAUAGGUCAUGGAAUUACCACUAGACGCGCAGAGCAGCGGAAGACGUCUCGAUGUAGACGAACGCGUCGAGCAGUGCCGUGCAGUCGGCGGCGUCCUUCACGUCCUCGCACGGUUCGUCCUAGUGCUCCAGAUGCAGCACCUCCGAGGUAUCCACACGUACAGGGAGGAAGCGCCGCGUACCGAACUGCUAGGUUCGCGACGGCGGCUUGGCGAGGGCGAGAGGUGAGCGGCGGCUGCUCGUUUGCUGGUGGCAAAUUAGGUUAAGCCUAACCGUGCCCCCGCCCCUCAUUAUAUAGGCGUUAUGAUGGGCUUCUGACACCGAGGCCCAUCAUUAACCUUAAGCCCAGUCUAAUUUCGGAUCUAAUCCGAGUUAGGCUUCCUUCCCCUUAAGUGUGUGACCCUAUAGGUUCACGUACAAAUAGACAUAGCCCGAGUACUCUUACUUGGCCCAAUAAUUGACAGCGGCCUCUAGCAAGACAUGUCAACUCCUAUGCGCACGUAAAGAUCAUAUCAGACGAACCAUUGCAACAUUACGUACAUGUUGUUCCCUUUGUCUCACGAUAUUUGGUCUGGCUCUAAGCUGACCUCUCUUUCUCGAUACUGUGAAUUGGAAUCCUUUCAAUGGUUAACUCUUAACCCUAGCACGGCCAUGCAUUUCUUGAUCCAAUCACUCGAGGGGCCCAGAGAUAUCUCUCUCACAAAGAGAGGGACAAAUUCCAUCUUGACUGACCAUGCCUCACAGCAUGCUUCCUGACAAACCCAAAACUAACUUUAUAACUACCUAGUUACGGAAUAGCGUUUGAUAGUCCCUAAGUAAGUCAAUUCACAUCUUGAGAACAUGCGACUAUCUCAGGUCUAAGGAUACAGUAUUCAUGUUGCAAAAAGAGAACUAUAUUACAAUAUCUCACGUUGGGUCGGUCCAGCCUCAUGUCAUACAUGCGCCCACAUUAUUAGUUUAACAUCUCCAUGUUCAUGACUUGUGAAAUGUAGUGAUCAACUAAUACAUGUGCUAGUCAUCGACUCUGACUAGGGACAUCAUUUAGAAUAACCAUAUAAGUAAAGAAUCUCACAAAUAAUUCACAUAAUUGCUAAUCAAUACAAGGUGCCUUCCAUGGAUAUUCAAUUAAGCAAUAUAUAUCAUGGAUACAAAGAAAUAUGCUCAUCUCUAUGAUUAUCUCUAGGGCAUAUUUCUAACAGUCUCCCACUUGCACUAGAAUUAAUCUAGAAGAUAUCUAAUACCCAUAGAUCUCAUGUGUGCUUCAUGCUUAGGUUGUGGAAGAGGUUUUGUCAAAGGAUCAGCAACAUUCAAAUCCGUAUGUAUUUUGCAUAUCUUUAUCUCACCCCGCCUAAUGAAUUCCCGUAUGAGGUGAAACUUCCGCAGUACGUGUUUGUUUUUCUGGUGGUUCCUUGGCUCCUUAGCUUGCGCAAUAGCCCCAUUGUUGUCACAGUAGAGGUUCAAUGGACUAGAAGCAUUAGGAAACACACCAAGCUCGAUGAGGAACUUCCUUAUCCAAACACCUUCCUUCGCAGAUUCAGAAGCUGCAAUGUACUCGGCUUCUGUUGUAGAAUCAGUCACAGUCUCCUGUUUGGAACUCUUCCAACUAACAGCACCACCAUUUAUUGUGAACACAAAACCUGAUUGCGAUUUUAACUCGUCUGGGUCAGUUUAGAAGCUAGCAUCGGUGUAACCAGUAACAACGAGCUCCUCCUUACCCCCAUAUACCAGGAACAUAUCUUUAGUCCUUCUUAAGUACUUAAGAAUGCCUUUUACCGCUGUCCAGUGAUCCUCACCUGGAUCAGCCUGGUACCUACUCGUAGCACUUAUAGCGUAUGAAACAUCUGGGCAUGUACUUAUCAUGGCAUACAUGAUUGAUCCAAUUGCUGAGGCGUAUGGUACCUUACUCAUGCGCUCCCGCUCAUUAGCCGUCGCAGGACAUUGCAUCUGGCUAAGGUGUUUACCAUGUGACAUAGGUAUGAACCCUUUCUUGGACUGUUCCAUGUUGAACCGUUUCAAAACCUUGUCAAUGUACGUAUCUUGACUUAAUCCUAUAAGCCUCUUCGACCUAUCUCUAUAGAUCCUUAUGCCCAAAAUAUAUGCUGCUUCCCCUAAGUCCUUCAUAGAAAACCUCUUUUUCAGUGAAGCCUUGACGGACUCCAGCAUAGGAAUGUCAUUCCCAAUCAAUAAUAUGUCAUCCACAUACAAGAUCAGAAAUACAACAGCGCUCCCACUUUCCUUCUUGUAAACACAAGCUUCUUCUUCAUUCUGAUGAAAACCAAGCCCUUUGAUCACUUCAUCAAAACGAAUGUUCCAACUCCGAGACGCUUGCUUCAACCCAUAAAUGGAUUUCUGAAGUUUGCAUAUCUUUCCAGCAUUGAUCGGAUCGACAAAACCCUCGGGCUGUAUCAUAUACACGUCCUCAUCUAGGUUUCCAUUAAGGAAAGCUGUUUUGACAUCCAUCUGCCAAAUCUCAUAAUCGAAAUAUGCGGCAAUAGCUAGAAUGAUCCGAAUAGAUUUAAGCAUCGCUACUAGCGAGAAUGUCUCGUCAUAGUCAAACUCCUUGAACUUGUCGAAAACCCUUUGCAACAAGUCGAGCCUUAUAGAUGUGAACAUUUCCAUCCAUGUCUUUCUUCUUCUUAUAGAUCCAUUUGCAUUCUAUAGGUCUAACACCAUCAGGCGGGUCAACCAAGUUUCAAACUUGAUUUUCUCCCAUGGAAUCUAUCUCGGAUCUCAUGCCGACAUGCCAUUUCUCGGAAUCUGGGUCCAUCAUCGCUUCUGAAUAUGUUGCAGGUUCGUUGUUGUCUAACAACAACACUUCCCCAUUGCCCAACAAUAGCACUUCUCCUCGUGCCUCGCGAAGCCUUGCUGACCUUCGUGGUUGUGGUGGUGAUUCUCUUGCCAUAGACGUCUCAACUUGUUAUGCUACAUUAGCAUCACUUGUUGAAUCUUGUCCCACUGGCUCAUCCUGAACUUCUUCAAGAUACACCUUUUGUUUACUUUUCUCUCUUUUGAGAAACUCUUUCUCUAAGAACACACCGUUCCGGGCGACAAACACUUUGCCCUCUGACCGGUGGUAAAAGUAAUAUCCUAAAGUUUCCUUUGGAUAUCCCACGAACAUGCACUUGUCCGAUUUUGGAGUGAGUUUAUCUGACUGAAGUCGCUUGACGUAAACCUCACAACCCCAAAUCUUCAGAAAAGACAAACUGGGAGUCUUCCCAGUCCACAUCUCAUAUGGUGUCUUAACUACAGACUUAGACGAUACCCUAUUUAGUGUGAAAGUUGUUGUUUCUAGAGCGUAUCCCCAAAACGACAAAGGUAGGUCCGACUGGCUCAUCAUUGAUCGAACCAUAUCCAAUAAAGUCCGAUUACGUCGCUCAGUCACGCCAUUCCUCUGAGGCGUUCCAGACGGCGUAAGCUGUGGAACAAUUCCACAACUCUUUAGAUGAUUGCUAAACUCAUGACUCAAAUAUUCACCUCCACGAUCUGAUCAAAGUGCUUUAAUUUUCUUGCCACACUGAUUUUCUACUUCAUUUUGAAACUCUUUGAACUUUUCUAAGGAUUCAGACUUGUGUUUCAUUAAGUAGACAUACCCAUAUCUACUAAAAUCAUCAGUGAAGGUUAUGAAGUAUUGGAAUCCUCCCCUAGCUGUCGUACUCAUUGGUCCGCACACAUCAGUAUGUAUGAGUUCCAAUAAAUCUAAUGUCCUCUCCAGUAAACCCGUGAAAGGCGCCUUGGUCAUCUUACCAAGUAAGCAAGCUUCACAUGUCUCGUAUGAUUCAAAAUCAAACAAAGUUAAAAGCCCAUCAGAAUGAAGCUUCUUCAUGCGAUUCUCACUUAUAUGACCCAAACGACAGUGCCACAUGUAGGUAGGACUCAAAUCAUUAGGCCGAGGCCUUUUAGCACUAAUAUUAAAGAUAGGUGCAUCAUCAAGAUUUAAAAUGAAUAACCCAUUCAUAAUGGAUGCAAAAGCCACAAACAUGCCAUUCUUAGAGAUCACACAACCAUUGUUUUCACUCGCAAAUGAAUAACCAUCCUUCAUCAAACAUGAAGGAGACAUAAUGUUUCGACUCAUACUAGGAACUAGAUAACAAUUAUUUAACUCCAAAAUAAAUCCUGAUGGGAGGUGGAGUUGCAUCGUCUCGACGGUCAACGCAGCAACUCUUGCAUUAUUGCCUACCCGGAAAUCAACUUCUCCUCUUUUCACGCUUCUACUUCUUAUCAUUCCCUGCAUCGAAUUGCAAAUAUGGGCAACCGAUCCGGUAUCAAAUACCCAAGAAUUAAUAUAAGAAUCAGCAAGAAAAAUUUCUAUAAUGUGAAUAGCAAGUGUACCUGCUGCGGCUAUACCCUUACCGUCGCGAUCCUUAAUAGAGGCCAAGUACUGCUUGCAAUUCCUUUUCCAGUGACCAAGUUCUUUGUAAUAAAAGCACUCUGCAUCUGCAGCUGGUCCAGCCUUGGGCUUUUGAUUUGGCUUGGAUACUGUAUCCUUUGCCUUGCCCUUCUUCUUUUGAGAUUUACCCUUCUUAAAGUUGGGUUUGUUUUGGACCGCCAUCACAUGGCCGCUGCUGCCAGCGCUUUUCUUUAUGUCCCCCUCUGCUGUUUUCAGCAUGCCACAUAGUUCAUUGAGGCCCCUCUCCGCCCCAUGCAUAUGGUAGUUCGUGAUGAAGUUUCCAUAGCUGGGCGGAAGAGAUGCCAAAAUGAAGUCAGUGGCCAACUCUUGGCUUAUUGGGAAGCCUAGCUUCUCCAACCUCUGACUGUAACCAACCAUUUUGAUUACGUGUGGCCCAACUGCUGCGCCUUCUGCUAGCUUGCAUUCCAGAAAGGCUUUGGACACAUUGAACCUUUCAUUCCUAGCCUGAGUCUGGAACAUAUCCUUGAGCGCCACGAUCAUAUCGUGCACCUCAUGGUUUGUCUCAAACUGCAUCUGUAGCUCAGGCUCCAUGCAAGCAAGCAUUAGGCAACUCACUUCAAGAUUAGCAUCCAUUGCUUUCUUGUAAGCGGUUUUAGCUGCAGCAGUUGCAUUUUCACCAGGAUCCUCUGGCAGUGGGGUGUCUAGAACGUCUUCCUUUUUUUCAGCCCUGAGAACAAUUCUCAGGUUACGGAUCCAAUCCGUAUAGUUUGUUCCAUUUAACUUAUCCUUUUCAAGAAUUGAUCGCAAAGUAAAUGUUGGUGUGCUAGGUGCCAUUUAUCUACAACAAAAUAAUGCAAAAUACUAAGACAAAAAUAUCCAUGACAGAGUAAAUCAUAUUAAACAUUUAAUAGUCUACUCCCACUAAAAUCAAUAUCCCUCGAUUGCUACUUAGUGAUUCAGAACCCACAACUAACAAGUCUACUAGUGAGCUUUAGCAUCACCGCUAGAAGACAAGGUAGAUCGGUAAGCAACUCCUUGCUAAUCAUAUCAUAUAUAUGACUUCUGUUGUUGGGUGACAUCUCUAUGUCUCGGCUCCCAACCUUAUGCCCCAAAGUCCUUAACCAUUAAGCUGACUUUGUUUAAGUUAACCAACCCUUUCUGCAGUUCGUAUCCGAUACAAACCUAUCUAGUCAAGGAAAACUGGUGGCACCCUAAUUUCAUAGACCCACCACCAAUUGUACAAGACUUAUGAUAGUGCAAGGAUUGGAGAGGCAUUUAAGUUUAAACAUUUAUGAGGGAUCGUCCUACUUAUAUCAUCGCACGCAAGGACAUAUAUGCAAUAUGAACAAGUAGAACAUUAAGAAUGGCAUUCACACAACAGUUGUGAUUCGGUAUGGCUUGCUGUCACAUGGUGAUCCCCAUCUCCAAUAAUCUGUCCAUCACGAUGAUCUCCAUCUCCAUGAUAUAGGUAUGCCAUCCUUCAGGUGAUGAGUCCUUCAAGACCUAUCUAACGUAUGCUGGUAAACAAAUUACAUAUACGCUUUGGAACAUCACAUGUUGACACGCAGGUCAUUACAUUAAAUUUGGACAAUACAUGUGGCUCCAGCCGUAUUGCCCUGGUCACGACACGCAGGUCAUGAAUAAUUCAUUAAUAUGCAUCAUAUACACACAAUAGCCAUACCGAUCACAAGAUGUCCUGCAAAAACAGGUUAGACAAACACGUUUCUAUAUGUUCGCCACUACAGCAGAUAGCCACAACAGACAACAUCGUAUGUAUGAAAAUUCCACUGAAAAUCUCAUGCGGUUGAUCAAAUCAACCCAAAUCCGAGACUUUCGACCCGAAGAAGAUUACACUCAUGACGUCGAUCUGUUACGUCAAUCUACUGGUUGUGUACGCAGUUAGCCCCGAUGGUGAUUCCAGCCGGUAGGAGCAAGUCGCGCACAUAACAGAGAAGGACGAACUAAUCUCUUCAGUCAUAUCCGAUGUAAUCUACUUCAACCCUUUAUAACCAAUUGAUCUAAUCAAACCGUGCAUCAAGUAGAUCCAUCUCAUGAACCUAGAUCCAGACCUAAAACUACGCAGAACCUGCUCCGAUACCACUGAAGGAUUACGGGGAGGCUAGCGCAACUGAAGGAUUACGGGGAGGCUACGCUAGCGCAAAACAAAAUUUUCAACCCCAUAAUACCAAGAACUACUGCGGUUAUAGGUCAUGGAAUUACCACUAGAUGCGCAGAGCAGCGGAAGACGUCUCGAUGUAGACGAACGCGUCGAGCAGUGUCGUGCAGUCGUCGGCGUCCUUCACGUCCUCGCACGGUUCGUCCUAGUGCUCCAGAUGCAGCACCUCCGAGGUAUCCACACGUACAGAGAGGAAGCGCCGCAUACCGAACUGCUAGGUUCGCGACGGCGGCUUGGCGAGGGCGAGAGGUGAGCGGCGGCUGCUCGUUUGAUGGUGGCAAAUUAGGUUAAGCCUAACCGCGCCCCCGCCCCUCAUUAUAUAGGCGUUAUGGUGGGCUUCUGACACCGAGGCCCAUCAUUAACCCUAAAGCCCAGUCUAAUUUCGGAUCUAAUCCGAGUUAGGCUUCCUUCCCCUUAAGUGUGUGACCCUAUAGGUUCACGUACAAAUAGACAUAGCCCGAGUACUCUUACUUGGCCCAAUAAUUGACAGCAGCCUCUAGCAAGACAUGUCAACUCCUAUGCGCACGUAAAGAUCAUAUCAGACGAACCAUUGCAACAUUACGUACAUGCUGUUCCCUUUGUCUCACGAUAUUUGGUCUGGCUCUAAGCUGACCUCUCUUUCUCGAUACUGUGAAUUGGAAUCCUUUCAAUGGUUAACUCUUAACCCUAGCACGGCCAUGCAUUUCUUGAUCCAAUCACUCGAGGGGCCCAGAGAUAUCUCUCUCACAAAGAGAGGGACAAAUUCCAUCUUGACUGACCAUGCCUCACAGCAUGCUUCCUGAUAAACCCAAAACUACCUUUAUAACUACCCAGUUACGGAAUAGCGUUUGAUAGUCCCUAAGUAAGCCAAUUCACAUCUUGAGAACAUGCGACAAUCUUAGGUCUAAGGAUACAGUAUUCAUGUUGCAAAAAGAGAACUAUAUUACAAUAUCUCACGUUGGGUCGGUCCAGCCUCAUGUCAUACAUGCGCCCACAUUAUUAGUUUAACAUCUCCAUGUUCAUGACUUGCGAAAUGUAGUCAUCAACUAAUACAUGUGCUAGUCAUCGACUCUGACUAGGGACAUCAUUUAGAAUAACCAUAUAAGUAAAGAAUCUCACAAACAAUUCACAUAAUUGCUAAUCAAUACAAGGUGCCUUCCAUGGAUAUUCAAUUAAGCAAUAUAUAUAUCAUGGAUACAAAGAAAUAUGCUCAUCUCUAUGAUUAUCUCUAGGGCAUAUUUCUAACAGAUCCCUCACGACCCCGUACAAUCUUGAGCCAGGUCACCAACAAGUCCUUCGUGUGAUCACCGCACUCCAAUCGCCACCAAGCCAUCUAGGUGAUGUCGAUCACCAAGAGUAACAAGCUACAGACUUUCACUUGACUAAGAGAAGCCUAAUGCAUAUGGUGUGUGCUCUAGGUGGCUCUGAUGCGCACUAAUGAGGUCCUAACACGAGAUUAUGAUUUUCUAAUCACCUCACUAGGCUUUUAGGGCUUGCAAUGCACUAGCAAAGAACACAAGUGUAUGUGGGCUGCAAGACACUUAAUGUGGCUAGUGGAGGGGUAUAAAUACCCCCAACAACCAAAACUAGUCGUUAUUGUAGGCUGCUGCGCAUGAGCGCACCAGACAAUCCGGUGCGCCACCGGUGCGCUGCAAUGGCUAGUCCUGACAUCUAGCCGUUGCUCUGACUGUGCACCGGACAAUGAACACUGAGUGUCCGGUAUGCACCAAACGGCCGAUGCGCAGCUAAAAAUUGACUCUGCGAACUCAUUGCUCUCGGGUUUUCUCGGGGGCAGAGGACCUGGCCCCACUGUUAGGGGUCACACCGGAUAGUCCGGUGCACACCGGACAGCCCGGUGCCCCUUAGACAGCAAAGCCAACUUCUUUUCCUUAGGUUUUUCUAACCUGAUUUCGUUCUAACUCGUGAGUGUGUUAUAGAGUGACACCUAGCACUAGUUGUGAGUGUGAACAUGCACCAACACUACACUAGAAUUCUCUUGGUCAAACUACUCAUCCACAACCCCUCUUUAUAAUACGGCUAAAGUAAAAAUAUAAGACCUAACUCUACACCAAGUGUCCACAACUCCUUUGACACUUGGAAUACGAAGACCUUCAUCUUUUGAUUCGCCUUUUUCAGCCGUUGCUUCAAGUUCUUAUCUCAGGGAUUGUUUUCACCAUUGCAGCGCAACCUCCUGUAAUGCGACCUAACUUACCAUUUGCUCUGCAAAACACACGUUAGUCACAUAUAAUCUUAAGUUGUCAUUAAUCACUAAAACCAACCAGGGCCUAGAUUCUUUCAGUGGGGAAUGCAUGUCUUUGAUUCUUCAUGAGCAGGCAUGAAGUGAUCACAUGGUCCAUAUUAUUGCAGCCAAAGCAUCUCCUCAUCAUUUCAUCCUUGUCUUUGUGUGGACAAGACGCAAUGAAGUGGCCUGGUUCCUUGCAUUUGAAGCAUCUCCUUUUUCCUCUUCCCUUUUUGCUCUUGGAGGAUAUAAAGAGAUGAUAAGUGCAAACAACAUGACUAAUUGAAUCUUUACCUUUUUCUUUCUUCAUGUUGAUUGCUUCAUCUAUUGCUUUAGGAACUUCCUUCUUGUGGAGUUUUACACUUGUUGUGGUUUCACCAUUCUCAAGCUUAUUCACCAUGCGUUCAUGGAUAUCUUGAGGAGAUUGAGCAAUGUGUCUUCUCCUUAGUUGCUUUGCGUUCUUGUUCCUUUCUUUAUUUAUGAGAAACUUUUCUUUUGAUCCUGCAGCUUGAAGCUCAGUCAAAAAUUGGCUUUCUUUUGAGUAACAGGUGUUAGCACAUGGUGAUAUAUUAUAUAAUUGUGCACAUGUGCAAGAAUGAGGUUACAUGAAUUUAAACUCACAAUUACAACCUCAUGAGCAACAUCAAGCAUGAUAUGUGUAUCCAAAAGAUUAUCAUGAUAAUAAGACAAUAUAUCAUAUUUUUCACUAAGAGCAAGUUUCUCAAGAUUUAGCAAUUCUACUUGCCUCUUAAGUAUGGCGUUUUCAAUUUUAAGUUGAGCAAUACAAGAUAAAGCAUCAUCACUACUUUUCUCUAUUAGAACUGAAUCAUACCGUUGGACCAAAUCAUCAUGAGAGCACCUUAGCUCCUCAUGUUCUUUGGUCAUCUUCUCCAGGCUAUCGUUAGUUUCGAUGAGUGUCUUCUCUAGCUUGAGAAGCAUCUCACCUUGUUCUUUAUUUCUUCUCAACAAUUUCAUCAGGAGCAUCUUGUAGUUUUUGUUGAGAUUGGUGUAGAGCUAGGGAUUUUUUUCCUCGAACACAUCAUCGGUCUAUUUUCCCUAUCAUCAUUAUUAGUGGAAGCAAUAUGGAAAAAUGUACCUUGUGAUGAUGUGGAUUCAUUCUCGCUAUCAUCAUGCCCCUCCUCAUCGUCGCUUUUGUCUCCACUAUCAUCGUUAGCAAUAAGACAUUUAUAACUAGUAGGAGAUGAACCUAUCGGUGAGGUCGAUUCAUCGCUUGGUGUCCAUCAUUCUUGUUCUUCUCCCUUGGACAUGUUAGUACCACAAGCAAUAGAGGGAGCAGAAGCAGUGCAUAUGGACUUAAAAAUUUUCAACUUAAUUCUAGUCGAUACAUCAUGAGCAUCAACAAAUAAAUCACUAUCACUACUCAUGACGACAAAAUAAGCACCUUUAGAGAGUCAACUAAGAUGUUGCAAGCAUGGUGAUUGAGAGAUAAACUUCUUAGUUCAACCUUAGAAGGAUUUUUACUAAUAUCGGAGGGAAAAAUACUUCUACUAAAAAUCUGUCUCAAAUCAGGAUCAAUAUACAUGAAAGCAUUUAAUCGAGACAGACCAAGAUUUAUAAUUAGAACCAUCGCCUAAAAGAAGUUCAAGAGUUACCUCUUGUGACGACAUCGUCAUCUCCGGACGGCUAAGCUCACACUGGACAUACCUACCUCUAAUACCAAUUAAAAGUUCCCUUUGUCCGGGAACACGAUCUAGAUGUCGCCUAGAGGGGGUGAAUAGGCGAAUAAAAAUUAACACUUAAAACUGGAAAUUCUUACUCUACUCGGAGACUGGAUCACAAUGGAAUGAAAGACUCUUCGAGUAGGUCGCAACGGAAUUGAAGUUCCUGUCUCAAAAUACCCUGCACCUAAAAGCAUGCUUGUACCACAGAUAAGUAUUGAAGUGCAAGUAUAAAAAGCAAUUAAGAUAUAGAGAUAGCACACAACACAGAGCAGAGCACAAAGACACAGGGAUUUAUCCUGAGGUAUGGCCAAGCCUGAAAUGCUUGUCUAGUCCUCGUUGGAGUUAGCCACACCUUGGAUUGGAGUCUAGUUCAACUCCUUCCUCUGGUUGCUCAGCUCUGUCAGUAUGAUAGAUAGAGCCUUCCACUAUGUUGACGUCAGUUACAAUGAUGUCGUGGCUCCUUACAAUCUUCUAGACAGCACUCCGGCAGAGUAACAAUGCACUCAAGAUUUUUCUCUAGCUCUCAGCAACACUUCCCCUCUUUCUAAGGCUUAUAACUUCGCCUCUACACAAACUAGAGAGAUACACAAAAGAGGGAGAUAAAGAAUUGACCAUAAUGAUGUAUGGACUUGUUGGCUGCACUUGUGUCUUCAAAAGGGUGCCUAGGGGUCCUUUUAUAGCUCCAAAAGAUCCCCUAGUCAUUGCCCCCUUUCCAUGCAAAGAUCUCAAAUCUAGAAGAUAACUGCCACUCUGCGGGGGCACCGGAUUGUCCAGCGCCAGCACCGGACUGUCCGGUGCGCCUCCAUCCAAAUAGGUCACAGAAUCGACGAUUGGCUACCUUCCACUUUUGUGGGGCACCAGACUGUCUGGUGCUCCAAUCUUCCCAUUGGCGCAGCUGACGUGUCAACUAGACGUUGCCUCUGAGACGCACUAGACUGUCCAGUGACCGGCCCCAGACUGUCUGGUGCAUGGGGCCAGACUGUUCGACAUGUUUAGCCAAGACACCCGAGGCUGGGUAGUUGGUCGUCUAGGACACCAGACUAUUCGAUGCACAUUGGACUGUCUAGUGAGGUGCACCAAACUAUCCGGUGCUACCCAGACAGCAGCACACUUGUGUGCUUUCCUCUUCUUUCUUCCCAUUCAUCUUCAACUUUUGUGAGGACUUUCCUGUGACUUAGACAAAUACUUUUAGAGUAUAAUUCAAUUGAAUAAGUCCUAGAAGAUUACCUCUUUUCAUAUCUUCUCCCAUCUUUUCUGUUUCACCUCAAGCAAAGCUCUACUUUCUAAUGACCGUGUUUUUCGUCUUGAGCUUGAUCUUGAGCCUUAUGACUUACACCACAUAAUAAUAGAUGUUACCUCAUGGGUUGUAAAUCAUGUUCUUAGGUGAUGAUCCUUGAUGCACCGUAGCUCUUCUCAACUUGAUCAACCUUGAUUUAGCAAGUCAUCUCCUUCACGCCUAGCUUUGGGUUCCUCGGCCUCCUUGACCUUCUCCCGUGCACUCGGUACCUCAGAGCACUUCUUGCUUCCAUCUUUAGCUUGAUCAGUUGUCUCUGAAUUACGCAAUGUCCAUUAUUCAUAAAUAAUUCAGUAAUGUCCAUCUUUCUUGUGACGUCCAUUAUUCAUAAAUAAUUCAACCUUUGGACCAUCACUCUUGAACACUUGUGUUGAAAUUUACAAGCUUUACACUAAGCACCUGUCCAACACUGAACGCGCUUGUCAAUCCUUUAAUUGGGUUGUCAUCCAAACCACCAAAACCCACAUGAGAGCUUUCACAUUGUCUUGGACUUCAUCAGUCUACUCAACAAUCUAUUUUCCCCAGAGGCAUGGCGGAUAAUGUAUUCGUGUCGUUCAGAUGGCAUUUCUUCAAUCACUGCUGAAGCCUUUUCUUAUGUAGACCCUUCAUCUUUAGAGACCUCAGCCUUCUCUUGUUCCUUCUCCCUAAUAGCAUUUGUUAUGGAGUAAGCCUUCAAAGUGCUAGUCUUGUCCACGCUAGGAGAAAAUUCCGUGCUCGCAGCCACCUUGAACCUAGUUGUCAGACUCUCAGCAAUAGGCUGCUGAGAGGAGUAUCAAUAACCUUCGGCGCUGUAGGCAACUGAAAGUUGCCUAGAGGGGGGGUGAAUAGGGCGAAAUUGAAAUUCUCAAAAAUAAUCACAACUACAAGCCGGGUUAGCAUUAGAAAUAUAAUUGAGUCCGCGAGAGAGGGUGCAAAACAAAUCGCAAGAGAACAAGGGGAUUGACACACGGAUUUGUUUUACCGAGGUUCGGUUCUUGCAAACCUACUCCCCGUUGAGGAGGCCACAAAGGCCGGGUCUCUUUCAACCCUUCCCUCUCUCAAACGGUCCCUCGGACCGAGUGAGCUUUCUCUUCUCAAUCACUUGGAACACAAAGUUCCCGCAAGGACCACCACACGAUUGGUGUCUCUUGCCUCAAUUACAAGUGAGUGUUUGAUCACAAGAAAGAAUCAAGAAAGAAGAAAGCAAUCCAAGCGCAAGAGCUCGAAAGAACACAAGCAAAUCACUCUCUCUAAUCACUAGGGCGUUGUGUGGAAUUUGGAGAGGAUUUGAUCUCUUUGGUGUGUCUAGAAUUGAAUGCUAGAGCUCUUGUAAGUAGUUGGGAAGUGGAAAACUUGGAUGCAAUGAAUGGUGGGGUGGUUGGGGUAUUUAUAGCCCCAACCACCAAACUUGACCGUUGGUGGAGCUAUCUGUCGUAUGGUGCACCGGACAGUCCGGUGCACACCGGACAUGUCCGGUGCGACAGCCACGUCACCAUAGCCGUUGCAAUUUGACCGUUGGGGUUCUGACUUCUGGGCCCGUCUUGAUGUCCGGUGGCGCACCGGACAUGUACUGUAGAGUGUCCGGUGCGCCUGCUCCGCGUGCCUGACGACUGUGUGUUUCUGGCGCGCAUUAAAUGCGCCUGCAGGUGACCGUUGGCGCAAAGUAGCCAUUGCCCCGCUGUUACACCGGACAGUCCGGUGUACACCGGACAGUCCGGUGAAUUUUAGCGGAGCAGCCGCAAGUGAAAACCCGAGGCUGGCGAGUUCCUGAGGCCGUGUACACCGGACAGUCCGGUGAAUUAUAGCGGAGUGGCCUUUGGAAAUUCCCGAGAGUGAAGAGUUUGAAGUCGGAGUCCCCUGGUGCACCGGACAUGUCCGGUGGCACACCGGACAGUCCUGUGCGCCAGACCAGAGGUGCCUUCGGUUGACCCUUGCUCUUUUGUUGAACCCAACACUUGGUCUUUUUAUUGACUAAGUAUUAACCUUUUGCACCUGUAUAACUUAUACACUAGAGCAAACUAGUUAGUCCAAUAUUUGUGUUGGGCAAUUCAACCACCAAAAUUAUUUAGGAGCUAGAUGUAAGCCUAAUUCCCUUUCAAUCUCCCCCUUUUUGGUGAUUGAUGCCAACACAAACCAGAGCAAAUAUAAAAGUGCAUAAUUGAACUAGUUUGCAUAAUGUAAGUGCAAAGGUUGCUUGGAAUUGAGCCAAUAUAAAUACUUACAUGAUGUGCAUGGAUUGCUUCUUUGUUUUUAACAUAUUGGACCACAUUUGCACCACAUGUUUUGUUUUUGCAAAUCCUUUUGUAAAUUCUUUUCAAAGUCCUUUUGCAAGAUAGUCAAAGGUAAAUGAAUAAGAAUUUUGAGAGGCAUUUUCAAGAUUUGAAAUUUUCUCCUUUUGUUUGAAAUGCUUUUCCUUUGACUAAACAAAACUCCCCCUCAAAUAAAUUCUCCUCUUAGUGUUCAAGAGGGUUUUAGGACAACAAUUUUGAAAAUACUACUUGCUCCCCCUUUAGAACACAAAGAGAUACCAAUUUUGAAAUUUGCCAUCCAAUUGAAAAUCAUUAAUUUUUUUUAAAAAAAUUAGGGUGGUGGUGCGGUCCUUUUGCUUUGGGCUCAUAUUUUCUCCCCCUUUGGCAUGAAUCGCCAAAAACGGAAUCAUUAGAGCCCUUUUGUUAACUAUUUUCUCCCCUUUGGCAAAUAAAACAUAUGAGUGAAGAUUAUACCAAAGACGGAGAGUGGAGCGGAGUGACGGCGAAGGAUGAGUAGUAGAGUGGAGUCGAAGCCUUGUCUUCGCCGAAGACUCCAAUUCCCUUUCAAUAUACCUAUGACUUGGUUUGAAAUACACUUGAAUACACAUUAGUCAUAGCAUAUAAAAGAGAUAUGAUCAAAGGUAUACUUAUGAGCUAUGUGUGCAAGUUUAGCAAAAGAAAUUCCUAGAAUCAAGAAUAUUAAGCUCAUGCCUAAGUCUGGUUAAAGAUUGUUCAUCAAGUGGCUUGGUAAAGAUAUCGGCUAAUUGAUCUUUAGUGUUGAUGUAUGAAAUCUCGAUAUCCCCUUUUUGUUGGUGAUCCCUAAGAAAAUGAUACCGAAUGGCUAUGUGUUUAGUGCGGCUAUGCUCAACGGGAUUAUCCGCCAUGCGGAUUGCACUCUCAUUAUCACAUAGAAGAGGAACUUUGGUUAGUUUGUAACCGUAGUCCCGCAGGGUUUGCCUCAUCCAAAGCAAUCGCGCGCAACAAUGGCCUGCGGCAAUGUACUCGGCUUCGGCGGUAGAAAGAGCGACCGAAUUUUGCUUCUUUGAAGCCCAAGACACCAAGGAUCUUCCCAAGAACUGGCAAGUCCCCGAUGUGCUCUUCCUAUUAAUCUUACACCCUGCCCAAUCGGCAUCCGAAUAACCAAUCAAAUCAAAUGUGGAUCCCCGAGGGUACCAAAGCCCAAACUUAGGUGUGUAAGCCAAAUAUCUCAAGAUUCGUUUUACGGCCGUAAGGUGAGAUUCCUUAGGGUCGGAUUGGAAUCUUGCACACAUGCAAACUGAAAGCAUAAUGUCCGGUCGAGAUGCACAUAAAUAAAGCAAUGAACCAAUCAUCGACCGGUAUACCUUUUGAUCCACGGACUUACCUCCCGUGUCGAGGUCGAGAUGCCCAUUGGUUCCCAUGGGAGUCUUGAUGGGCUUGGCAUCCUUCAUUCCAAACUUGCUUAAAAUGUCUUGAGUAUACUUCGUUUGGCUAAUGAACGUGACCUCUUGGAGUUGCUUGACUUGAAAUCCUAGAAAAUACUUCAACUCCCCCAUCAUAGACAUCCCGAAUUUCUGUGUCAUGAUCCUACUAAAUUCUUCACAUGUAGAUUUGUUAGUAGACCCAAAUAUAAUAUCAUCAACAUAAAUUUGGCAUACAAACAAAUCAUUAUCAAGUGUUUUGGUGAAUAAAGUAGGAUCGGCUUUGCCGACUUUGAAGCCAUUUGCAAUAAGGAAAUCUCUAAGGCAUUCAUACCACGCUCUUGGGGCUUGCUUGAGCCCAUAAAGCGCCUUAGAGAGCCUAUAAACAUGGUUAGGGUACUCACUGUCUUCAAAGCCGGGAGGUUGCUCAACGUAGACCUCUUCCUUGAUUGGUCCAUUGAGGAAGGCACUCUUCACGUCCAUUUGGUAGAGCUUGAAGCCAUGGUAAGUAGCAUAGGCCAAUAAUAUACGAAUUGACUCAAGCCUAGCUACGGGUGCAUAGGUUUCACCAAAAUCCAAACCUUCGACUUGUGAAUACCCCUUGGCCACGAGUCGAGCUUUGUUCCUUGUCACCACACCAUGCUCGUCUUGUUUGUUGCGGAAGACCCACUUGGUUCCUACAACAUUUUGGUUAGGACAUGGAACUAAGUGCCAUACCUCGUUCCUUGUGAAAUUGUUGAGCUCCUCUUGCAUCGCCAUCACCCAAUCCGCAUCUUGGAGUGCUUCCUCUACCCUGUGUGGCUCAAUAGAGGAAACAAAAGAGUAAUGCUCACAAAAAUGUGCAACCCGAGAUCGAGUAGUUACCCCCUUAUUAAUGUCGCCGAGGAUGGUGUCGACGGGGUGAUCUCGUUGGAUUGCUUGGUGGACUCUUGGGUGUGGCGGCCUUGGUUCUUCAUCCUCCUUGUCUUCAUCAUUUGCAUCUCCCCCUUGAUCGUUGCCGUCAUUUUGAGGUGGCUCAUCUUCUUGAUCUUCUUGUUCAACAUCUUGAGCCUCAUCCUCAAUUUGAGUUGGUGGAGAUGCUUGCAUGGAGGAGGAUGGUUGAUCUUGUGCAUGUGGAGGCUCUUUGGAUUCCUUAGGACACACAUCCCCAAUAGACAUGUUCCUUAGCGCUAUGCACGGAGCCUGUUCUUCACCUAUCUCAUCAAGAUCAACUUGCUCUACUUGAGAGCCGUUAGUCUCAUCAAACACAAUGUCACAAGAAACUUCAACAAGUCCUGAGGACUUGUUAAAGACUCUGUAUGCCCUUGUGUUUGAGUCAUAACCUAGUAAAAAACCUUCUACAGUUUUAGGAGCAAAUUUUGAUUUUCUACCUCUCUUAACAAGAAUAAAGCAUUUGCUACCAAAAACUCUAAAAUAUGAAAUAUUGGGCUUUUUACCGGUUAGGAGUUCAUAGGAUGUCUUCUUGAGGAUUCGGUGAAGGUAUAACCGGUUGAUGGCAUAGCAGGCGGUGUUGACCGCCUCGGCCCAAAACCGAUCCGGUGUCUUGUACUCAUCAAGCAUGGUUCUUGCCAUGUCCAAUAGAGUUCAAUUCUUCCUCUCCACUACAUCAUUUUGUUGUGGAGUGUAGGGAGAAGAGAACUCAUGCUUGAUGCCCUCCUCCUCAAGGAAGCCUUCAAUUUGAGAGUUCUUGAACUCCGUCCCAUUGUCGCUUCUAAUUUUCUUGAUCCUUAAGCCGAACUCAUUUUGAGCCCGUCUCAAGAAUCCCUUUAAGGUCUCUUGGGUAUGAGAUUUGUCCUGCAAAAAGAACACCCAAGUGAAGCGAGAAUAAUCAUCCACAAUAACUAGACAGUACUUACUCCCGCCGAUGCUUAUGUAAGCGAUCGGGCCGAAUAAAUCCAUGUGUAGGAGUUCCAAUGGCCUGUCACUAGUCAUGAUGUUCUUGUGUGGAUGAUGAGUGCCAACUUGCUUCCCGGCCUGGCAUGCGCUACAAAUCCUGUCUUUCUCAAAAUGAACAUUGGUUAGUCCUAAAAUGUGUUCCCCCUUUAGAAGCUUAUGAAGAUUCUUCAUUCCAACAUGGGCUAGUCGGCGGUGCCAGAACCAACCCAAGUUAGUCUUAGCAACCAAGCAAGUGUCGAGUUCAGCUCUAUCAAAAUCUACCAAGUAUAGCUGACCCUCUAACACUCCCUUAAAUGCUAUUGAAUCAUCACUUCUUCUAAAGACAGUAACACCUACAUCAGUAAAUAGACAGUUGUAGCCCAUUUGACAUAAUUGGGAUACGGAAAGCAAAUUGUAAUCUAAAGAAUCUACAAGAAAAACAUUGGAAAUGGUAUGGUCAGGUGAUAUAGCAAUUUUACCCAAUCCUUUGACCAAACCUUGAUUUCCAUCCCCGAAUGUGAUAGCUCGUUGGGGAUCUUGGUUUUUCUCAUAUGAGGAGAACAUCUUUUUCUCUCCUGUCAUAUGGUUUGUGCACCCGCUGUCGAGUAUCCAGCUUGAGCCCCCGGAUGCAUAAACCUACAAAACAAUUUUAGUUCUUGACUUUAGGUACCCAAACGGUUUUGGGUCCUUUGGCAUUAGAAACAAGAACUUUGGGUACCCAAACACAAGUCUUGGAGCCCUUGUGUUUGCCCCCAACAAACUUGGCAACUACUUUGUCGGAUUUGUUAGUCAAAACAUAAGAUGCAUCAAAAGUUUUGAAUGAAAUAGCAUGAUCAUUUGAUGCAUUAGGAGUUUUCUUUCUAGGCAACUUGGCAUGGGUUGGUUGCCUAGAGCUAGAUGUCUCACCCUUAUACAUAAAAGCAUGGUUAGGGCCAGAGUGAGACUUCCUAGAAUGAGUUCUCCUAAUUUUGCUCUCAGGAUAGCCGACAGGGUACAAAAUGUAACCCUCGUUAUCCUGAGGCAUGGGAGCCUUGCCCUUAACAAAGUUAGAUAAAUUCUUUGGAGGGGCAUUAAGUUUGACAUUGUCUCCCCUUUGGAAGCCAAUGCCAUCCUUGAUGCCAGGGCGUCUUCCAUUAUAGAGCAUACUUCUAGCAAAUUUAAACUUUUCAUUUUCUAAGUUAUGCUCAGCAAUUUUGACAUCUAAUAAUGCUAUAUGAUCAUUUUGUUGUUUAAUUAAAGCCAUGUGAUCAUGAAUAGCAUUGAUAUCAACAUCUCUACAUCUAGUACAAAUAGAAACAUGCUCAACAUUAGAUGUAGAGGAAUUGCAAGAUUUUAAUUCAAUAACCUUAGCAUGUAACAAAUCAUUUUUAGUUCUAAGGUCGGAAAUAGUAGUUUUGCAAACAUCAAAAUCCUUAGCCUUAGCAAGCAAUUUUUCAUUCUCAAUUUUAAGGCUAGCAAGAGAAUCAUUCAAUUCCUUAAUCUUAGCAAGCAAAUCAUCAUUAUCAUUGGGAAUUGAAGUAUCACAAACAUGAGAAUCAACCUUAGCAAUUAAUCUAGCAUUUUCAUUUCUAAGGUUGUCAAUAGUGUCAUGGCAUGUGCUUAGCUCACUAGAUAAUUUGUUACAUUUUUCUACCUCUAGAGCAUAAGCAUUUUUAACCUUAACAUGUUUCUUAUUUUCCUUCAUUAGGAAGUCCUCUUGGGAGUCCAAGAGAUCGUCCUUUUCAUGGAUGGCACUAAUUAGCUCAUUUAAUUUUUCUUUUUGUUCCAUGUUAAGGUUGGCAAAAAGGAUACGCAAAUUAUCUUCCUCACCACUAGCAUUAUCAUCACUAGAAGAUUCAUAUUUAGUGGAGGAGUUAGAUUUAACCUUCUUCCUUUUGCCGUCCUUUGCCAUGAGGCACUUGUGGCCGACGUUGGGGAAGAGAAGUCCCUUGGUGACGGCGAUGUUGGCGGCGUCCUCUUCUGAGGAGGACUCGGUGGAGCUCUCGUCGGAGUCCCACUCGCGGCACACGUGGGCAUCGCCGCCCCUCUUCUUGUGGUACCUCUUCUUUUCUCUUCUCUUGCCCUUCUUGUCGUUAUCCCUGUCACUGUCACUUGACAAUGGACAUUUAGCAAUAAAGUGACCGGGCUUACCACACUUGUAGCAAACCUUCUUGGAACAGGAUUUGUAAUCCUUCCCCUUCCGUUGCUUGAGGAUUUGCCGAAAGCUUUUUAUGAUUAAGGCCAUCUCCUCAUUGUCGAGCUUGGAGGCGUCAAUUGGUUGUCUACUUGGUGUAGACUCCUCCUUCUUCUCUUCCGUCGCCUUAAAUGCCACCGGUUGCGCCUCGGACGUGGAGGGUUCGUCAAGCUCGUUGAUCUUCUUUGAACCUUUAAUCAUACAUUCAAAGCUCACAAAAUUCCCGAUAACUUCCUCGGGUGUCAUUAGUGGGUAUCUAGGAUUACCACGAAUUAAUUGAACUUGAGUGGGGUUAAGGAAAAUGAGUGCUCUUAGGAUAACCUUAACCACCUCGUGGUCGUCCCACUUUUUGCUCCCGAGGUUGCGCACUUGGUUCACCAAGGUCUUGAGCCGGUUGUACAUAUCUUGUGGCUCCUCCCUUUGGCGAAGACGGAAGCGACCGAGCUCCCCCUCGAUCGUUUCCCGCUUGGUGAUCUUGGUGAGUUCAUCACCCUCGUGCGCGGUUUUGAGAAGGUCCCAAAUCUCCUUUGCAUUCUUCAACCCUUGUACCUUGUUGUAUUCCUCCUUACUUAGAGAAGCAAGGAGUAUGGUUGUAGCUUGAGAGUUGAAGUGCUCGAUUUGGGCCACCUAGUCCUCAUCAUAGUCUUCAUCCCCUACGGAUGGUACCUGUACACCAAACUCAACAACAUCCCAUAUACUUUUGUGGAGUGAGGUUAGAUGAAAUUUCAUUAAAUCACUCCACCUAGCAUAAUCUUCGCCAUCAAAGGUUGGCGGUUUGCCUAAUGGAACGGAAAGUAAUGGAGUAUGUCUAGAUGUACGGGGAUAGUGUAAGGGGAUCUUACUAAACUUCUUGCGCUCUUGGCGCUUAGAAGUUACGGACGGCGCAUCGGAGUCGGAGGCGGAUGUUGAUGAAGUGUCGGUCUCGUAGUAGACCACCUUCCUCAUCCUCUUGUGCUUGUCGCCUUUCCGAUGCGACUGGUGGGAAGAAGAUUUUUCCUUCUUCUCCUUGUGGUGUGAGGAAGAUCUUUUCUCCUUUCGUUUGGAGGAGUCCUUCUUCUUCUCCUUCCUCUUGGUGCGGGACUCUUCCGAUGAAGUGCUCCCUUUGCUCGUAGUGGGCUUGUCGCCGGUCUCCAUCUCUCUCUUGGUGUGAUCUCCCGACAUCACUUCGAGCGGUUAGGCUCUAAUGAAGCACCGGGCUCCGAUACCAAUUGAAAGUUGCCUAGAGGGGGGGGGUGAAUAGGGCGAAAUUGAAAUUCUCAAAAAUAAUCACAACUACAAGCCGGGUUAGCGUUAGAAAUAUAAUUGAGUCCGCGAGAGAGGGUGCAAAACAAAUCGCAAGAGAAUAAGGGGAUUGACACGUGGAUUUGUUUUACCGAGGUUCGGUUCUUGCAAACCUACUCCCCGUUGAGGAGGCCACAAAGGCCGGGUCUCUUUCAACCCUUCCCUCUCUCAAACGGUCCCUCGGACCGAGUGAGCUUUCUCUUCUCAAUCACUUGGAACACAAAGUUCCCGCAAGGACCACCACACGAUUGGUGUCUCUUGCCUCAAUUACAAGUGAGUGUUUGAUCACAAGAAAGAAUCAAGAAAGAAGAAAGCAAUCCAAGCGCAAGAGCUCGAAAGAACACAAGCAAAUCACUCUCUCUAAUCACUAGGGCGUUGUGUGGAAUUUGGAGAGGAUUUGAUCUCUUUGGUGUGUCUAGAAUUGAAUGCUAGAGCUCUUGUAAGUAGUUGGGAAGUGGAAAACUUGGAUGCAAUGAAUGGUGGGGUGGUUGGGGUAUUUAUAGCCCCAACCACCAAACUUGACCGUUGGUGGAGCUGUCUGUCGUAUGGUGCACCGGACAGUCCGGUGCACAUCGGACAUGUCCGGUGCGACAGCCACGUCACCAUAGCCGUUGCAAUUUGACCGUGGGGUUCUGACUUCUGGGCCCGUCUUGAUGUCCGGUGGCACACCGGACAUGUACUGUAGAGUGUUCGGUGCGCCUGCUCCGCGUGCCUGACGACUGUGCGUUUCUGGCGCGCAUUAAAUGCGCCUGCAGGUGACCGUUGGCGCGAAGUAGUCGUUGCCCCGCUGUUACACCGGACAGUCCGGUGUACACCGGACAGUCCGGUGAAUUUUAGCGGAGCAGCCGCAAGUGAAAACCCGAGGCUGGCGAGUUCCUGAGGCCGCUCUUCCUUGGAGCACCGGACAUGUCCGGUGUACACCGGACAGUCCGGUGAAUUAUAGCGGAGUGGCCUUUGGAAAUUCCCGAGAGUGAAGAGUUUGAAGUCGGAGUCCCCUGGUGCACCGGACAUGUCCGGUGGCACACCGGACAGUCCGGUGCGCCAGACCAGAGGUGCCUUCGGUUGACCCUUGCUCUUUUGUUGAACCCAACACUUGGUCUUUUUAUUGACUAAGUAUUAAUCUUUUGCACCUGUAUAACUUAUACACUAGAGCAAACUAGUUAGUCCAAUAUUUGUGUUGGGCAAUUCAACCACCAAAAUUAUUUAGGAGCUAGAUGUAAGCCUAAUUCCCUUUCAGCAACGCCACCUUCGCAGGCUUCAUAAUAUCCUUCAGAACAUUAGCCAUCCUCUUCCCUUUUUGGGGUGUUCCCCCUGGGGUUGUUUUAAGCUUUGGUUGUGCCUCUGCUUUCGCUGGCGCCUCUAGCUGCAGGCUGGCUAGGGGCACUUUGUCUUGGAUUGGCACCUCAAUGACCUCCUCCUCAUCUUUCCUCGCCUCCUACAUUAAGAGUAAAGUAUAUCAUAAAGAACAUUACGACACAAUUAAUCAAAACAAAUAGAGAAUAUAGUAAUCAUUACCUUCGUAGGUACAGGCGACUAAACCUUCGGCUCAUUGGUUGGUGCGGCCUCAAUAGAAACUUCCCUGACAGAAGUAACAAGCGUAGGCAGCACUGCUCUCUCUCUCUCUCUCUCUCUCUCUCUCUUCAUAGUAAUAUUUCGGCUGCUUUGCCAAAAUUUUCACCUUUUUUUUGCUUCGGCGCAGCCCAAGGUGACUUCACAUCACUUUUCCUUUUCUGACCUUUACUUGGAACAGGGAAGCAAUAAUCAGGAUAUAGAAAUGGAUAGCGUAAAAAACUCGAUUAUGUCUCCUCUUUCCCCAAGCACCAAAGGCAGUGGUCAAAGCUUCAUCUUCCUUUUUGGUGUAAUUCCCCAGUAUCUCAUUACACGUUGCUUUGAUAACAUCCAUCCAUUCAUCAUCUGGCUCUCAAAACUGACUCCUGUAUCGAUAUGUAUACUUUAAGUGCACCAAACCACCUUUCUCAGCCCCUUGGUCAGAUGCACCACCCUCUUUCACCUUCGGCCAUAGUUAUUAAGGUGGCAAGACGAGGUAAGGCAACUGACCCCCUUUUUACCUUUUAAGCGAUAAGGCAUAAGGCGAGGCGACGCCUUAAAUAUAGUUAAAAUAGAAAAAAUAUUGAUAUUUGAGAAAGUAUUUAGUAUAAAAACGAGGAAAGAUAAAAGAAAAAUAAAAACUUAGCCCCUAGCCUACAAAUCAGCCCAAAAGCCCACUAGCCUAAUAAAACUAUGUUAAGCCCAUUUUCUCUCCCUCUCUAUCUUCUCCCAGUCCUAGCCACCAGUCUCGACUCCUCCCCUUCAAAUGAGGCAAUGACCCAGCCGCCUCCCCCUCUCUCCUCACUGGCGUCUCUCCCUCUCUCUCUCUCCCGUUGGCUCCCUCUCUCCUGUGUCAGCCGCUGCUUGAGGAGACUCUAGAGCUACCGUCGCACCAAUGCUAGAGAAGCCACCACGGCGCCGCCGCUAGAGUAGCCACGAAGUCGUUGUUGGAGGAGCCGACAUGCAGCUGCUGGAGCCACCAAUGGCCUCUCCCACUCGUCUUAGAUGUAGGCGUAAGGUGAGCAGGUUGCCUUACGUCGCCGAGGUGCCUUACCGCCUAGGCGACGCUUAAGCGUCACCUUGGGGAUGCCUUAACAACUAUGCCUUCGUGUAACGCCCUGAAUUUGGGGGUAGAAUUGUUUCUUCAUUUUACUCACCAAAUUCAGGUGUUACUCUCUUUACUUUUCCCGUUUCGCUCCUUCUUCCCAAUUUCAAAGCAAUAUAGCGAUUGUUGUCCAUGUCAUGUGUAAACAAAACCUAAGUUGACAUGACUGUUUCAUCAUACCGAAUCAUAUUUCUUUGUCUGAUUUUGUGCUUAAUCGCGUGCGUUGCUUAGUUUCGUUUUGGAUUUUGCUUCGCGAAUUGAUUUCCGAUCUGUGGUUGUGCGUGCCAUGGGGUUUUGACCCGCGGUGCGGCCCAGCCUAGCCCAGCCCGACCCGACCCAGCCCGGCCCGGCCCAGCUCGGCCCGCGCGCCCCUGGCGCCCCCUGAUCCCUUUUCUCUCAUUUGAUUUCUCCCGCGCAGCAACCUCUCUCUCUCCCAUCUCUCUCUCCCCGUGGUGCCCUAGGUCUUGGUGACGGUGAUCGCCGGAAUUUGGAUCCCCAAGGUGAGCUCCCUUCUCCCUCUCUCUCUCUCUCUUCCCCUCCCCCUCCCCUUUCUUCUUCCCUGCGCACCCCCUGCCCCAUCGUGCCCCCCCCGGCGACCCCCUGCCCCGUCGCGCGCCCCUCCCCGGAGGUUCCUGCUCCCAUCGCGCGCCCCCCGGCGACCCCCUGCCCCCGUCGCGCCCCCCCCCUCGGCGGCUCCGUUCGACGGUGGCCCGUGCCCGACGGCGGACCCGCGCCCCCCGGCGGCUCGCCCGAGCCCACGGCCCCGCGCCCUUGGUGGCUCGCCCCCAUGUGGCCCUCCGCGCCGCGCCUUGCGCCCCCGGUGGCUCGCCCCCGUGCGGCCCCGCGCCCGCGCGCCCUGCGCCCCUGGCGGCUCGGCCCCCACGCCGCGCCCCUGCGCCCCCGGCGGCUCGCCCCCGUGCGGCCCCGCGCCCGCGUCCCGCGCCCCGGCGACUCGCCCCGCGGCCGGUGGCCCCGCGCGCCCCGUGCCCGGGCGGCGGCUCGGCCCCGUGGCCCCCGCGUCCGCGCCCCGUGGCGGCUCGUUCUCGCGCCCUCACGCCCCGCGCGCCUGCGUGCCCCGCGACCCUGCGCUCGCAUGCCCCCGGCGCGCGCGGCAUGUUCGCGCGCGCGACUGUAGUUGCGUGGCGUGUUCGCGCGCGUGCGACUGUAGUGGUGCAGCAUGUUCGCGUGCGCGCGGCUGUAGUGGCGCGGCGUUCCACUUUCAGCUUAAUCCUUUUUUUAAUUUUAGUUUAGUCGAUGUGCUGCGUCGCGCGCUUUGUCGCGUGACGAUUCAUUUUAAAUUCAUCUUUAUUAAUGAGCUAUGUCGCGCGCUUUGUCGUGCGACGUUUCAUUUUAAAUUCAGUUCAGUUGACGUAUGUCGUCGUGUGUUUCAUCGCGCGACGCUUAACGUCUCUUUAUAAUUAAUGCAAGUGUCUCGUUGCACGCUCCGUCGCGCGACGAGUCAUUUAUUUCUUAAUUCAAUUUAAGUGUUGUGUCGUGCGUCUCGCCGCGCGACAAUCCUUUUAAUUUACCUUUAUCUGCUUAUAAUAAUUAAAUAUGGAACAUGAAUUUAUCUUAUGCUAAACGCGAUGGCUAAACUAAUACUAUUAUGUUUAAACGAGUAGUUUAAUUUAUAAUCGUGUAACGUGAUCGCUCUUUGACCGUAGUCUCGACCGUUACUUUCUCCUUCUCGCUUAGUCGUAAAUGUGUGCCCUGCGUCGAACGUCUGUUUAAUUAUUGCAUUCCAUUGUAUGGUGUACUGUUCUUUUGUAUUAAAUGUGUGGAAUGUAUGUUUGAAUUGGUAUAGAUAACAGUCAGUUGGCGGAGUCCGAAGGAGUUGCAGGUGAAGACCCUGAGCAGCAGUCGGUUGGUGAAGGCAAGUGUCCCUUGACCCAUCUAUGUCCUACUAAUUCUUAUAAUUCACUUCCCGCAUUUACACAUUUAUACCUAAGGAUUAACUAGCUUUUAUCUAUCUUAUCCUUGUUUACCUAUUCUAGUUGGGUUAUUUUGGUUUAGCUUUAUGCUAGCGAUUCACAUUAAUCAAUGAACAUGAUGAGAUUAUCCAUGAUACACUGUUUUCCCUUUUGAUUAUGAUGAUGGUACUUGUGGCCCUUAAGGGGACUCGAGCUGUUUCUCGAGUGCCUCUCCGUAAGGACUUGUUCGUUGGAUGACCGCCUGGGAAAACAGUGCAACCAUGAGGGUGGAGUGGGACGCCCUUAGCUGAGUAAUUAGAGGAACUAGGGUGUAGUUCGCUUCGUCGUCGUGCCGUUAAUGGGGCUCGGUGUAUGCGGCUCGCUCUACCAAGGUUGGUUCGUCCCCUUGGGGAGGAGUUCUGUGCAUUUAGGAUACCUAACGGGCGGCUACAGCCCCAGGAAAUCUUUGUAAAGGCUACGUAGUGAGACCCUGCCUAUUCACCUUGGUAGUGUUUAAGGGUUUAAUCGGCCCAAGAUAAGAGGGAAUCAUGGCUUGUGGGAAAAGUGUGCAACCUCUGUAAAGUGUUAUGAAACUGAUAUAUCAGCCGUGCUCGCGGUUAUGAGCGGCCAAGGGAGCUCCAUUGAUUAGAGAUACUUGAUCAGAGAUGUAUGGUUUACAGGUGGUGAUGUGAAUGAUGGUUUUGAUUAUGCUUAUGGUACUGGUAAGUGGUAUUCUUUCCGUUUGGAAAGGGUACAUCGGGUUAAUAACUUGGGUUAAUGCUAAAACCUAGCUUUCUACUAGUAAUAAUAAUCUGACCAGCUAAAAGCAACUGCUUGACUUAACUCCACAUAAAGCUAGUCCACUACAGCCAAACCAGACAUUUUGCUGAGUAUGUUGAUGUGUACUCACCCUUGCUUUACACACCAACCCCCCCAGGUUGUUAGCGUUGCAACAACUGCUCAGGUGAAGAUGAAGUUGUGGAGGAGGACUUCUAGGAGUUUCAAGAGUACGAUGAGUUCUAGGCGUGGGUUAGCGGCAAACCCCUAGUCGGCUUCCUGUGUAGGCUGUGUGUAUCUACGUUUCUUUUCCGCACUUUGAUUAUUGUUAAAGACUAUGUGGAUGUCUCGGACAUCAUGAUGUAAUCGACUAUUAUACCCUCUUUUAUGUCAUUAUUUGAGCACUG
rnacentral:lncRNA from 1 species